AUGCCCUGGCAGUCAGAGGCGAUGAAGGGCGUGCUAAUCUGCGAUAAGCGCCGGUAAGGUGAUAUGAACCGUUAUAACCGGCGAUACCCGAAUGGGGAAACCCAGUGUGAUUCGUCACACUAUCAUUAACUGAAUCCAUAGGUUAAUGAGGCGAACCGGGGGAACUGAAACAUCUAAGUACCCCGAGGAAAAGAAAUCAACCGAGAUUCCCCCAGUAGCGGCGAGCGAACGGGGAGGAGCCCAGAGCCUGAAUCAGCAUGUGUGUUAGUGGAAGCGUCUGGAAAGGCGCGCGAUACAGGGUGACAGCCCCGUACACAAAAGCGCAUGUGCUGUGAGCUCGAUGAGUAGGGCGGGACACGUGGUAUCCUGUCUGAAUAUGGGGGGACCAUCCUCCAAGGCUAAAUACUCCUGACUGACCGAUAGUGAACCAGUACCGUGAGGGAAAGGCGAAAAGAACCCCGGCGAGGGGAGUGAAAAAGAACCUGAAACCGUGUACGUACAAGCAGUGGGAGCA
rnacentral:rRNA from 1 species